rnacentral:rRNA from 1 species
ACUCCUACGGGAGGCAGCAGUAGGGAAUCUUCCACAAUGGGCGCAAGCCUGAUGGAGCAACACCGCGUGAGUGAAGAAGGGUUUCGGCUCGUAAAGCUCUGUUGUUAAAGAAGAACACGUAUGAGAGUAACUGUUCAUACGUUGACGGUAUUUAACCAGAAAGUCACGGCUAACUACGUGCCAGCAGCCGCGGUAAUACGUAGGUGGCAAGCGUUACCCGGAUUUAUUGGGGCGUAAAGAGAGUGCAGGCGGUUUUCUAAGUCUGAUGUGAAAGCCUUCGGCUUAACCGGAGAAGUGCAUCGGAAACUGGAUAACUUGAGUGCAGAAGAGGGUAGUGGAACUCCAUGUGUAGCGGUGGAAUGCGUAGAUAUAUGGAAGAACACCAGUGGCGAAGGCGGCUACCUGGUCUGCAACUGACGCUGAGACUCGAAAGCAUGGGUAGCGAACAGGAUUAGAUACCCUGGUAGGAUAGCG